UACGAAGGGGGCUAGCGUUGCUCGGAAUUACUGGGCGUAAAGCGCACGUAGGCGGCCUGUUAAGUCGGAGGUGAAAUCCUGGAGCUCAACUCCAGAACUGCCUUCGAUACUGGCGGGCUUGAGUUCGGGAGAGGUGAGUGGAACUGCGAGUGUAGAGGUGAAAUUCGUAGAUAUUCGCAAGAACACCAGUGGCGAAGGCGGCUCACUGGCCCGAUACUGACGCUGAGGUGCGAAAGCGUGGGGAGCAAACAGG
rnacentral:rRNA from 1 species